UACGGAGGGUGCAAGCGUUAUCCGGAAUCACUGGGUUUAAAGGGUGCGUAGGCGGCCUGACAAGUCAGAGGUGAAAUGCACGAGCUUAACUGGUGAAUUGCCUUUGAAACUGUCAAGCUAGAAUUAUGUUGAGGUUAGCGGAAUGAGUCAUGUAGCGGUGAAAUGCAUAGAUAUGACUUAGAACACCGAUUGCGAAGGCAGCUAACUGGGCAUAAAUUGACGCUGAGUCACGAAAGCGUGGGGAGCGAACAGG
rnacentral:rRNA from 1 species